GAUUUGUCUGGUUAAUUCCGUUAACGAACGAGACCUUAACCUGCUAAAUAGUGUUCUGAACCUCGGUUCACGGUCUACUUCUUAGAGGGACUUCGUGUGUUUAACGCGAGGUAGUUUGAGGCAAUAACAGGUCUGUGAUGCCCUUAGAUGUCCUGGGCUGCACGCGCGCUACACUGAUGUGUCCAGUAAGCACCUAACCUCUUCCGAAGGUUAACGGGUAACCUUGAGCAAAGCACAUCGUGAUGGGGAUAGAUUAUUGCAAUUAUUAGUCUUGAACGAGGAAUUCCUAGUAAGCACAAGUCAUCAGCUUGUGUUGAUUACGUCCCUGCCCUUUGUACACACCGCCCGUCGCUCCUACCGAUUGAAUUUUCCGGUGAAUACUUCGGACUGCGUAGUUUUUUUUUUUCUGCAUUCCUUGCGGAAAGUUGAAUAAACCUUAACAUUUAGAGGAAGGAGAAGUCGUAACAAGGUUUCCGUAGUGAACCUGCAGAAGGAUCA
rnacentral:rRNA from 1 species